rnacentral:tRNA from 1 species
AAGCUCCAUAUAUAAAGUAUUUUACUUUUAUUAGAA